rnacentral:rRNA from 1 species
GAUGAACGCUGGCGGCGUGCCUAAUACAUGCAAGUCGAGCGAACAGACGAGGAGCUUGCUCCUCUGACGUUAGCGGCGGACGGGUGAGUAACACGUGGAUAACCUACCUAUAAGACUGGGAUAACUUCGGGAAACCGGAGCUAAUACCGGAUAAUAUAUUGAACCGCAUGGUUCAAUAGUGAAAGACGGUUUUGCUGUCACUUAUAGAUGGAUCCGCGCCGCAUUAGCUAGUUGGUAAGGUAACGGCUUAUCAAGGCAACGAUGCGUAGCCGACCUGAGAGGGGGAUCGGCCACACUGGAACGGAGACACGGUCCAGACGCCUACGGGAGGCCGCAGUAGGGAAUCUUCCGCAAUGGGCGAAAGCCUGACGGAGCAACGCCGCGUGAGUGAUGAAGGUCUUCGGAUCGUAAAACUCUGUUAUUAGGGAAGAACAAAUGUGUAAGUAACUAUGCACGUCUUGACGGUACCUAAUCAGAAAGCCACGGCUAACUACGUG